AUUAUUUGGAUCAAACCAGGAAUGCAUAUUGACGCUCAACUACGCGUCAUUGUCCACGUGACAUAAUAGUUAUCCAAAAGGAACAGAAGGCUAACCGCGUUCGACGGUGAUAGUUGAUCAGCAGACUGUAUUCUAAUAGGGGAUCGUUUUUUACAACGAAAAUUAAAAUCAGAUUCAUCACUUCAGCCAUCUUAUAAUGGAGGAAAUUGCAGCAGCAUUGCUUCAGUUAGUCGAAAUGAAUAAGCAAAUAGUGCAACAGAAUAAACAGAUAGUCGAGAAAUUGAGUGCGAUUCAGAGUGAUUUAACUCGAGACCGAGAGGAGCGUCUUGCCAGGAAGCAAUUCAAAGCUAAGGCAUUUAGAGAGCUGGAUAUCCAGUACAUUAUGAAAAACAAGAACGUAGACGCAGAGGAAGCUGCUGCAAGACUGGAGGAGUAUGGGUACGAUGUUGCCAAAGCUGUCAGAAGAUGGGGUGGACACAGCGAAGUUGGAUUAGAACGUGUUCUCAUACAUUACGCAAAAAAGAAAAAUCGAGCAGCAAUUGAAAUGUGGUGAAAGACUAUUUUUUCGUUACUUAUUCGCAGAACUGCGGCUGAAGGAAUUAUUUAGGGGCAAAGUUGUUUAAUUCCUCUCACCCAAUCCUAUUUUUUAUUAACUCCACCUGUUAAUGUCUGUGGAAUGUAUCUAUGUGAAGAGAAAUAUUCUAUCACAGUUCUAGUAAAAAUACCAGAACAAAUCUAUUUAUAUAUAACAAAUCUAGAAAAAUUAAGGCAAAAAUUCACUUCCAACUUGAUCACUUCGAUGGCACUAAUCGUUUGCUUGUGGGGUGUGAGGGAAAAUAUAAAAAGUAGAGGUAAUGACUAACACAAAAGUCCAUCCAAUUAUUACUCUUAUUUUAGCACAAAAAACAAUACAACAAUCUAACCUCGAUUCAGUACAUGCAGAUAUAUUUUUAUUACACUUCUUUUCUAUACAUGUGUAAUUCAUAUGCUUAUAUUAAAAAUUGUUUGAAAGAAAUGGGAAAAUGGAAGUUUCGUAAAUAUCUACCUGUUGAUUUCUUUUUCCUUUUUGAGAAAUCACCAAUGGAAUGGGAUCAAAUUACGCUAUUUAGUUCAUGACAAGUAGAGGAGAUGGUUAAUGUCUCAUGAAAAUAGUAGGUAAAGUAAAACUAUUCAUUCAGAAGAACAAUUUAAAAAUCGCCUGUUUAGUCUGAAUAUUUCUACUAAUUGGGAGGACCAAAUAGUAAUUAUCCAUUAUCCAUUGAAGCAUUUUCCCAUGGGUUAAUCUUCUGUUUUUACAAGAACCGGAAGUUGAGGAUUAAGUACGUGGGCAAUCGAGAAAAUCAUCUUAUAUAAAUAUAAAUAUUCCUCAGAUGAUGGAUCCAAGGUCUUCAUGAAAGGUAUCACACUAUUAAUUAUCAAGUCAUUUAAAUCCUUUUGAUAAAGUGUCUGUUGAAGUCGUUGGAUCAUCACGAACAAAGACAGUAACUCGUUCUUGUCGGAAUAUUGAAUGGUUAAUGGCUCAGUGAACAUCAGAAAAUACUUGUAGCUAGUUUGAUUCCAUAUUCCAUUCUGUAACCAUCCCUUAGCGACAGAGUACCCGUACUUGAACCCAUUGGCAGUUGACCUUCGAGUUUUCAGUACAUCAUAUUUUUUUACUUUCGAUAUUUUACUCAAAUUAUCCAACUCAAAAUAUUUCUUCUUGUGCAAUGCAGAAUUCUCCGGAGUUUCGUGCAGAUCCCGAUAUAAUUCUCCAAAACCUUUGAUAAGCCUAACGUGAUUAUUCGAACCAGAAGUCUGUGAUUGAUUGUGAUGCUGAAAAAAAAUGUUAACAGCUCAUCUCAAUGAUUGGACAACAUAGAAGAGAUACAGUAAUUUUAAUGCAUAAGCCCAAUAAUCUGAAAAUCGUAAUUGACUUACGAAUGAAUUCAAAUCAUCCAAAAAUGUCUUCACUCCAUCCCUCUUCUUCUCGUCAUUUUGUUUAUUCACAUAAGAAUGAUAAAUUUUCAAUGGUUUAAGCAACUCCUCCGGAACUCCGAACCGAUUUAAAGCCUCGACGAGGUCUAUAGUAACUCGUUUUCGCUCGGUAAACAGCCCUGAAGAAUUAUCACCGUGGACUGGACAAUUAUUGGCAAGGGGCACCAAGGAAGGUGACGAAGCGCUGUUGGAUGACUCCAGUGAAAUUUUUUUUAUAAGAUUAUGUAAUUCGGUGACUGAUGGAUAUCUACAUUUAGCCCUUAGACUAGUUUUGCUAUUCCCUGCAUUCCUCAAAUCAUUGGUGGAUUUCGAAUUAUUUUGGCUCAUCAUUCUGACACUCAUUUUGUUUGCAGCGAUGAAAUUCUUCGGCUUCGACUUCUCUGAUUUAUCAAUCAUGUUAACUUUCGCAUGAUUUCGGUUCUCCUGCUCUUUGACUGUUGUUUUAGCUUUGGAUUUAGGUUGAUGUGGUGCGUAAAUAUUCUGCAGAGUGGGUUUCGAAUUUUUUCGUUUGGCUUCUGCAUUUUUCAAAGAUAUGGAUUCUCUAAAUUUUUGGGCCUGAGCCAAUGCCGUUUUGAUUCCUGUGGCAAUUUCUUGUGCUUGUGACUCUGCGUCUGGAAUCUAUCCCCGAGAUGAGGCCAAUGAUAUUUUGUGAGAACUAUUCUAAUGAAUUUUGAACUAGUUGUUGAUGGCAGAUUAAUCCCUCCAAAAAUUUGAGUGCAAAAAUUUAGGGAAUUUCUUAGAACAUGCAAUGAGAUUCUUGAUAUUAUACAUUAGUUGUCCGUGACCCUAAUGUAUGACCCUAAAAUCAACAUAAUUUAUCGAGACUUACUGGAGCACAAGUGCAACAAUCCCCAUCAACUUGGCGAGUCACCAAAGUCUCUACAAUCCAAGGACGAAGAACGAAAUUCGCUCCAUCACAGUCUGCCUGCAAAAUUCUCCGGACAUUUUCAGUUGAUGACAGAGUAAAAUCCACAAACUGCAUCAAUAACGAUAAAUUUUCUCGUUUGCCUUCUUCUUCUCCCUUCAAUCCCUGUCACGAAGAAAAGCCAUAAUUAACCAUUGGAAAAGAAAUAACAAAUGCAGAAAUUCUUUAUCGAAAACGUUGACCUUUCAUUGAUGAUAAAAAUGAUACAAAAUCAAGAUUAAAUAUCUUAUAUAUUAUGAAGAAUAUGUUAUAAAGACUUAGUGGUAGAAUUUUUUCUUAAAAUCCAUUUCUUCUUGUGUAUCUUUUCAUAAUUCGACUCUUCACCGGUGUUGCUUCCACGACAAGUCUUCCACGAGAAUAUUAAUCAGUCAAAAUAAACACCAGAAAGCAAUUCACAUUAUUUAAUACAGUUAAAUUCUCACAUAACAACCAUUGUUCCUCAUAUACAUUGGAUUUAAUAUCAAAAUUCCAUUUUUUUUUAUUUCUUUCAGUUCUCAAUUUUGCAUCAUGAAGAUAUAUAAAAUAUUUGGGAAUCACUUCUCUUCAUGGUGGAAUGAUUGUGGCUAGGGAAUUGACAGAUGCAUUACUUAAAAUAAGGAAACCUGUAUAUAAUUAUUUUCUUGCUUUAUAAAAAUAAAAAUUGCCUCAAACUUUUGAUGAAUGUGGUGAAACAUUCCAAACGGUAAACCCUUGCAUCUAUUAAUUUUUUUUAUUGCCCUCGUAUUCAUUGAUUCAUGUUUCAAAACCGAGAUUGGUCAAUCACUCGAUUGCUGCAUGGUGCAGCACUCGAAGUUUCCCGGCAUAUUAGAACAUGAAAAUAAUUGAUGAGGACGAUUCCAAUA